rnacentral:misc_RNA from 1 species
GUGAAGAACGUAGCGAAAUGCGAUAAGUAGUGUGAAUUGCAGAAUUCAGUGAAUCAUCGAAUCUUUGAACGCACAUUGCGCCCCUUGGUAUUCCAUGGGGCAUGCCUGUUCGAGCGUCAUUUGUACCUUCAAGCCUUGCUUGGUGUUGGGUGUUUGUCUCGCCUCUGCGCGCAGACUCGCCUCAAAACAAUUGGCAGCCGGCGUAUUGAUUUCGGAGCGCAGUACAUCUCGCGCUUUGCACUCAGAACGACGACGUCCAAAAGUACAUUUUUACACUCUUGACCUCGGAUCAGGUAGGGAUACCCGCUGAACUUAAGCAUAUCAAUAAGCGGAGGA